UACGAAGGGGGCUAGCGUUGCUCGGAAUCACUGGGCGUAAAGCGCGCGUAGGCGGGUCGUUAAGUCGGGGGUGAAAUCCUGGAGCUCAACUCCAGAACUGCCUUUGAUACUGGCGAUCUUGAGUCCGGGGAGAGGUGAGUGGAACUCCGGAGUGUAGAGGUGAAAUGCGUAGAGUAUCGUAAGGAAGACCAGUGGCGAAGGCGG
rnacentral:rRNA from 1 species